GAUGAACGCUAGCUACAGGCUUAACACAUGCAAGUCGAGGGGUAACAAGAGAAGAGCUUGCUUUUCUUGUUGACGACCGGCGCACGGGUGAGUAACGCGUAUCCAACCUGCCUAUAACUAGGGAAUAACCUUGCGAAAGUAAGACUAAUACCCUAUGAUUUCCUUUGAUGGCAUCAGAUUAGGAAUAAAGAUUUAUCGGUUAUAGAUGGGGAUGCGUCUGAUUAGCUUGUUGGCGGGGUAACGGCCCACCAAGGCAACGAUCAGUAGGGGUUUUGAGAGGAAGGUCCCCCACAUUGGAACUGAGACACGGUCCAAACUCCUACGGGAGGCAGCAGUGAGGAAUAUUGGUCAAUGGGCGGAAGCCUGAACCAGCCAAGUAGCGUGCAGGAUGACGGCCCUAUGGGUUGUAAACUGCUUUUAUACAGGAAUAAAGUUAGCCACGUGUGGUUAUUUGUAGGUACUGUAUGAAUAAGGACCGGCUAAUUCCGUGCCAGCAGCCGCGGUAA
rnacentral:rRNA from 1 species